rnacentral:tRNA from 1 species
GGUGCCGUAGGCAAAUCGGUAAAGCCGUCGAUCUUUCAAGUCGAUGUUUGCGGGUUCAACUCCCGUCGGCACUGCCA